rnacentral:rRNA from 1 species
UACGUAGGGGGCUAGCGUUGUCCGGAAUCAUUGGGCGUAAAGAGCGCGUAGGCGGCUAGAUAAGUCCGGUGUGAAAGUCACAGGCUCAACCUGUGAAUGCCGCUGGAAACUGUCUGGCUAGAGUCCGGAAGGGGCGAGUGGAAUUCCUGGUGUAGCGGUGAAAUGCGCAGAUAUCAGGAGGAAUACCAAUGGCGAAGGCAGCUCGCUGGGACGGUACUGACGCUGAGGCGCGAAAGCGUGGGGAGCAAACAGG